UCAGGAUGAACGCUGGCGGCGUGCCUUAAGCAUGCAAGUCGAACGCACUGAGAGCAAUCGAAGUGAGUGGCGGACGGGUGAGUAACGCGUAGGGACCUACCCUUUAGUCAAGGAUAGCUCGCCGAAAGGCGGGGUAACCCUGGAUAUUCUCGCGCUUUGCGCGAGAAAAGGCCGUAACUGGCCGCUGAAGGAUGGACCUGCGUCCUAUCAGCUUGUUGGUGGGGUAACGGCCUACCAAGGCGAUGACGGGUAGCUGGUCUGAGAGGAUGGUCAGCCACAAUAGCACUGAGACACGGGCUAUACAACUACGGUUGGCAGCAACUGGGAAUUUUGCGCAAUGGACGAAAGUCUGACGCAGCGACGCCGCGUGGAGGAUGAAGGCCUUCGGGUUGUAAACUUCUUUUAUUCCCGCACAUGCGGGAUUGAAUAAGCACCUGCAAACUACGUGCCAGAAGCCUCGGUAAUACGUAGGGUGCGAGCGUUAUCCGGAUUUAUUGGGCGUAAAGAGUGCCGUAGGCGGUUUGGAAAGUAGCGGGUUAAAGACCUCGACUCAAUCGGGGAAGUGCUCGCUAAACUUCCAGACUCGAGAUCGUUAGGGGAUACUGGAAUUCCUGGUGGAGGGGUGAAAUCCGUUGAUAUCAGGAGGAACACCAAGGGCGAAGGCAAGUAUCUGGGACGAUUCUGACGCUGAUGGACGAAAGCUAGGGGAGCGAAAGGGAUUAGAGACCCCUGUAGUCCUAGCCGUAAACGAUCUCUGCUAGCUGCUUUGCCCCGACGUAAGUCGGGAUGAGGUGGCGUAAGCUAACGCGUUAAGCAGAGCGCCUGAGUAGUACGGCCGCAAGGCUAAAACUCAAAGGAAUUGACGGGGACCUGCACAACCAGUGGAGCAUGUGGUUCAAUUCGAUACGAAGCGAAAAACCUUACCUAGGCUUGACAUGUUAGCUGCAAAUUCGCAGAAAUGCGGACUCUUUCGAAGGUGCUAACAAAGCUGUUGCAUGGCUGUCGUCAGCUCGUGCCGUGGGGUGUUUCCUUAAGUGGAAUAACGAGCGCAACCCCUAUCUGAUGUUAAAUAUUCAUCGGAGAUUGCCCCGAUAUUAUUGGGGAGGAAGGAGGGGACGACGUCAAGUCAGCACGACGCUUAUGUCUAGGGCGACACACAUCCUACAAUGGCGAAGAACAAAGGGUUGCCAAGCCGUAAGGCGGAGCUAAUCCCAGAAAUUUCGCCUCAGUUCAGAUUGAGGGCUGAAACCCGCCCUCAUGAAGUUGGAAUUGGUAGUAAUCGCGGGUCAGAAGACCGCGGUGAAUACGUUCCCA
rnacentral:rRNA from 1 species